AGAGCUAUGUUCGAUAUCGAGAGGCCCAAGCCGAAGAGGCUACUGCAACAAUUAUUUAGACAGAAGUCUGGUUCUGGUACUGAGAUGCCUCGGCCAGAGAGGUCCCACGAGAGCAAUUUCGUGUCCAAAGGAAUUUUGCCGGUUCACAGAACAUCAUCGUCUUCAUGUACUACCAGAGCGAUUCAAGAGGCUGAUGUCGAGCCUAAACCUGUAGCUUCGAUUCUCUACACACUUGUAGAAGCUGGUCCUACACCAUCAGCGGCUUGGGGGCAAGCCGCAUUUUAAGGAGUGGGGAAUGUUAGCUCCGCUACACAGGAAGCACAGAGGAUGCGUCGGCGUCAAGCAAGGAGUUGUUGUCAGCAAAGGAAACUGACGACACGAGCAACCUAAAGACAGAUAAGUUUUUGCAUCAGAAGCAGGCCAUGUCGCAGCAGAUAAGUUGCCAAACGGUGCUGUUGAGGUGCACUCUCUACCUAAAGAUGCUUCCGCAUUUGAUAUGUUACCUUCAGCUGAGGGAAUAGAUGUUGAAGCCCCUUCCAUGAGUGCUAAUGCACAAGGUUCAUCAACGCCAGAUGCCAAUGAAGAUGACAUUGAAAAAUAUGCAGAUUUGGAAGAGGACAAUACAGAAAGCUUGAUAUCUCCUGGACAAGUUUUUGCUUCUGGUAAAGAUAUACAAUCAGAAUAUACUGCAGUUGUCAGUCAUGUGGAUGAAGGCUCGAUAGAGAAAACAGAUGACUUUCAGCUCAAUGGCCUUCCAUUUGAGCACAACCAAAAUCUGAAUGGAGAUGUGUCUACAGCGACAACACUAUUUGAUCAUUUCACUCUGCAUGGGGGACGCCUUCUAGGCAAGUACUAUGAGAAUGUCAUGGGGAUGCUGCGACAGUUCCUGAUGAUGAUUCAAUUGACCAAUCAGAUGGCAGGAUCCAUGACGAUGAAGGCAAGGUGACAUUAGGUACUGAUGUUAAUGAAUAUGUUACUUCUGCGGCAAACAACAACGAGGAGAAUCUUGAUAUUACAUCAGUACAGCAAUCUGAAGUCACUAGAGCUGAUUUCUUGGAUGUCACAAGCAAUACUGAAUACAACCUAACAUCAACUCUAGAUUAUGCAACUUCAAGUGCACUGUUGCAAGAUUCUCCUUACAGAGUUUACAGGAAAACCGACAAUUCCAGAACAUCUCUCCUUUCUCAAGCUUCAUGUUCAUCACACUCCACGCCGCCGCUGCCUCGACCAGGAUGGUGUCGAUCUCAUGGAGGACGUCCACCUAAGUCCCAAGAACACCCACGCCCAAGCCCUUCUAGAUUUGAGAUCGAGCGAAGCUAAGCUUUUCAUCAAGAUGGCGCUUUUUCGACUUGUGGUGUGGCAUGUCAUGAUGGCCUCAAAUCAUCAGUGUUACAGGUGGCCACCACAAGCGAGGGGUCUGCUUCAACUUCUUGACAGAGACAGAUCGGAGGCUUUCUUGGCAAUGGAAAGUUUUGUUGGUAGUAGUAUUAGCUUUAUAGGGGGACAUGUCAUUAGGGUUGAUCUUGUGCUUUUGAGGCCUUGCUUACAGGCACGGUACUACUGAAAUAGUUAGCAAAAGAUGGCAAUACUGAUGUAAUCCAGAAUGUAGCAGUACAUAUCAACUGCCGUCUUAGUUUCAGUUCAUGAAGUGAAUAAUGCAUACCAAACUAUGUCCCAGUUCAAAGCAUCCAGAACAGUGAAGUAUUAUGUCUGUCGCGUUUUCUCAUUCUGAUAAUUCAUAUCAACUGCUUGUGAUGCUUUGCCAUUAUGGAAUUGAGUAUGCUGUGAGUUCAGAUCA